rnacentral:misc_RNA from 1 species
AGGUUGUACCAAAAACUGUAGAAAAUUUCCGGGCUUUGUGCACUGGGGGAAAGGGAAAAAGUAAAAGUGGGAAAGUUCUUCACUAUAAAGGAACACCACUUCAUCGUAUAGUGUCUGGGUUUAUGAUUCAAGGUGGUGACAUAGUUUAUGGUGAUGGGAGGGGGAGUGAUUCUAUAUAUGGCAACACUUUUGGUGAUGAAAAUUUUAAGAUAAAGCAUUCACAUGCAGGCGUUGUUUCCAUGGUGAAUUCAGGAUCGGAUUCCAAUGGCUCACAGUUCUUUAUCACCACUGUCAAGACCAGCUGGUUGGAUGGAGAACACGUAGUAUUAGGUAAGGUUAUUCAGGGAAUGGAUACCGUUUAUGCAAUUGAAGGUGGCGCAGGGACCUACAGUGGCAAACCCAGAAAGAAAGUUGUUAUUGCUGACUGUGGAGAGAUACCCAAGGGCAAGUGGGAC